UACGUAGUGCGCACGCGUUAUCCGGAAUUAUUGGGCGUAAAGAGCUCGUAGGCGGUUUGUCGCGUCUGCCGUGAAAGUCCGGGGCUCAACUCCGGAUCUGCGGUGGGUACGGGCAGACUAGAGUGAUGUAGGGGAGACUGGAAUUCCUGGUGUAGCGGUGAAAUGCGCAGAUAUCAGGAGGAACACCGAUGGCGAAGGCAGGUCUCUGGGCAUUAACUGACGCUGAGGAGCGAAAGCAUGGGGAGCGAACAGG
rnacentral:rRNA from 1 species